rnacentral:rRNA from 1 species
GACGAACGCUGGCGGCGUGCUUAACACAUGCAAGUCGAACGAAGUGGCGAACGGGUGAGUAACGCGUAAUCAACCUGCCCUUCAGAGGGGGACACCAGUUGGAACCGACUGCUAAUACCGCAUACUGAAGGAGGGGCAUGCGUAUGAGUAGCUAGUUGGGGGGGUAACGGCCCACCAAGGCGAUGAUCAGUAGCCGGUCGUGGAGGAUGAACGGACACAGUGGGACUUGGACACGGCCCAGACGCCGACGGUAGGCAGCAGUGGGGAAUCUGCCGAAAUGGACGAAAGUCUGACGGAGCAAAGCCGCGUGAGGGAGAACGGCCUUCGGGUUGUAAAGCUCUGUUAAUCGGGACGCGGUACCGGAAGAGAAAGCCACAGCUAAGAACGUGCCAGCAGCCGCGGUAAUAC